GAAAAUAUGACGUCGUUCUCAGUCGACCGACGGAUGGGGUUGAGUAGUGUGGUUUGUGUGUUAGUCGAAAUGUUAGUCUCAAGAAAAUCUAGUGUUAAAAAGUGGUAUAUGUACACUUCGAUUCCACCGUAACGUUCGCGACUUUUCAACGGUGAAAUGCCUGUGACGAAUGAAGUGUCUCCUGCAAUCACAUGAUCAAAGCCAGGAUAAACGCCCCAGAGCAGCCCUGGUCCCUAAACUGGUGGUGGACUGUCGGAGAACCACUGCUUAGCAGACCAUACAGAUAUGUUGUUGUAAGGUGAAGAUCUGGACAUGAUAAAAUUUCAGAACGCAUCGCCCAGAAAUUGAAUCGCCGCUGCCAAGUAACUGCAAAGAGAUGGAUGAGUUGAUAACGGGUAGCGACGUCUAAAUGAAGCUUUCUGAAGCUAAGGCUUCCUUUCCAAAUGUUAUAAAAGGGUUCAUUACUCGAAGUAUCACUGCACAGUGCACAGUAGCGGCAUCUGGUGGUCAAGGCGAAGCAUCUUAACUUGUGGAUGCUGCGUCUGAUACCUAAUUCGACUUGCAUCUUACAAAACUUUUUAUGAAUAAAUGCCAUUAGAAACACUCAA